GACGAACGCUGGCGGCGUGCCUAAUACAUGCAAGUCGAGCGAAUGAAUGGGAGCUUGCUCCUGUUCGUUAGCGGCGGACGGGUGAGUAACACGUGGGCAACCUGCCUGUAAGACUGGGAUAACUUCGGGAAACCGGAGCUAAUACCGGAUAGUUUCUUUCUUCACAUGAAGAAGGAUGGAGAGACGGUUUUGCUGUCACUUACAGAUGGGCCCGCGGCGCAUUAGCUAGUUGGUGAGGUAACGGCUCACCAAGGCGACGAUGCGUAGCCGACCUGAGAGGGUGAUCGGCCACACUGGGACUGAGACACGGCCCAGACUCCUACGGGAGGCAGCAGUAGGGAAUCUUCCGCAAUGGACGAAAGUCUGACGGAGCAACGCCGCGUGAGUGAAGAAGGUUUUCGGAUCGUAAAACUCUGUUGUCAGGGAAGAACAAGUACCAGAGUAACUGCUGGUACCUUGACGGUACCUGACCAGAAAGCCACGGCUAACUACGUGCCAGCCGCCGCGGUAACAC
rnacentral:rRNA from 1 species